rnacentral:rRNA from 1 species
GUCUUUUUGGUAUUGAUUUAAAGUUUAAUCUGCCCACUGAUUAAAAAAUUAAAGGGCUGCAGUAUAUUGACUGUACAAAGGUAGCAUAAUAAUUAGUCUUUUAAUUGAAGACUUGUAUGAAUGAUUUGAUGAGAUAUAAACUGUCUCUUUUUUAUAGUUAGAAUUUAAUUUUUUAGUAAAAAAGCUAAAAUUAUUUUAAAAGACGAGAAGACCCUAUAGAGUUUUAUAAUUAUUAUUGGUUAUAGUUAUAAAUAAAUAUAUAUAAAUUUAAAAUUGAUUAAUUAAAUUAUUUUAUUGGGGUGAUAGAAAAAUUUAAUAAACUUUUUUUAAAAAUUUAACAUUAAUUAAUGAUUAAUUGAUCCAUAAUUUAUGAUUAAAAGAAAAAAUUACCUUAGGGAUAACAGCGUAAUUUUUUUUUUUAGUUCUUAUAAGAAAAAAAGUUUGCGACCUCGAUGUUGGAUUAAGAUAAAAUUUAAAUGUAGAAGUUAAAGUUUGAUCGUCGAUCA